UACGGGGGGGGCAAGCGUUGUUCGGAAUUACUGGGCGUAAAGGGCUCGUAGGCGGCCAACUAAGUCAGACGUGAAAUCCCUCGGCUUAACCGGGGAACUGCAUCUGAUACUGGAUGGCUUGAGUUCGGGAGAGGGAUGCGGAAUUCCAGGUGUAGCGGUGAAAUGCGUAGAUAUCUGGAGGAACACCGGUGGCGAAGGCGGCUUCCUGGACCGACACUGACGCUGAGGCGCGAAAGCGAGGGGAGCAAACGGG
rnacentral:rRNA from 1 species